UACGGGGGGAGCAAGCGUUGUUCGGAAUCACUGGGCGUAAAGGGCGUGUAGGCGGUCAGGUAAGUAAGACGUGAAAUGCCUCGGCUCACCCGAGGACCGGCGUCUUAUACUGCUUGGCUUGAGUAUGGGAGAGGAUGUGGGAAUUCCUGGUGUAGCGGUGAAAUGCGUAGAUAUCAGGAGGAACACCGGUGGCGAAGGCGCACAUCUGGCCCAAUACUGACGCUGAGGCGCGAAAGCUAGGGGAGCAAACGGG
rnacentral:rRNA from 1 species